GGGGAUUUAGCUCAGUGGUAGAGUGCUUGCUUGCCUAGCAAGCACAAGGUCCUGGGUUCGAUCCCCAGCUCCG
rnacentral:tRNA from 1 species